rnacentral:rRNA from 1 species
GAGCAACGCCGCGUGAGGGAUGAAGGCCUCUGGGCUGUAAACCUCUUUUAUCAAGGAAGAAGAUCUGACGGUACUUGAUGAAUAAGCCACGGCUAAUUCCGUGCCAGCAGCCGCGGUAAUACGGGAGUGGCAAGCGUUAUCCGGAAUUAUUGGGCGUAAAGCGUCCGCAGGCGGUUUUACAAGUCUGUCGUUAAAACGUGGAGCUCAACUCCAUUUCGGCGAUGGAAACUGUAAGACUAGAGUGUGGUAGGGGCAGAGGGAAUUCCCGGUGUAGCGGUGAAAUGCGUAGAUAUCGGGAAGAACACCAGUGGCGAAGGCGCUCUGCUGGGCCAUAACUGACGCUCAUGGACGAAAGCUAGGGGAGCGAAAGGGAUUAGAUACCCCUGUAGUCCUAGCCGUAAACGAUGAACACUAGGUGUCGGGGGAAUCGACCCCCUCGGUGUCGUAGCCAACGCGUUAAGCGUUCCGCCUGGGGAGUACGCACGCAAGUGUGAAACUCAAAGGAAUUGACGGGGGCCCGCACAAGCGGUGGAGUAUGUGGUUUAAUUCGAUGCAACGCGAAGAACCUUACCAGGGUUUGACAUCCUGCGAAUCCCUUGGAAACUUGGGAGUGCCUUCGGGAGCGCAGUGACAGGUGGUGCAUGGCUGUCGUCAGCUCGUGUCGUGAGAUGUUGGGUUAAGUCCCGCAACGAGCGCAACCCACGUCUUUAGUUGCCAGCAUUUAGUUGGGCACUCUAGAGAGACCGCCGGUGAUAAACCGGAGGAAGGUGUGGAUGACGUCAAGUCAUCAUGCCCCUUACAUCCUGGGCUACACACGUACUACAAUGCUACGGACAAAGGGCAGCAAACUCGCGAGAGCUAGCAAAUCCCAUAAACCGUGGCUCAGUUCAGAUCGUAGGCUGCAACUCGCCUACGUGAAGGAGGAAUCGCUAGUAAUCGCAGGUCAGCAUACUGCGGUGAAUACGUUCCCGGGCCUUGUACACACCGCCCGUCACACCAUGGAAGUUGGCCACGCCCGAAGUCGUUACUCCAACCCUUGUGGAGGAGGAUGCCGAAGGUGGGGCUGAUGACUGGGGUGAAGUCGUAACAAGGUAGCCGUACCGGAAGGUG